rnacentral:rRNA from 1 species
AUGCUGGCCAUGUACGGCAAACCACUGCUCCCCAAGAUGCACCACACCAACCCCAUCUCCGUGCUGGAGCGGGACUACCUCCGGUUCCAGGCGAUGGGGAUGGUGGCCUCACAGCUUGCCAGGUACAACCCACCACUGCGGAGGGAGGUGGUGGCGUACGUGCUCGACGUGGAAUCGUACAUGUUCAGCCUGCGCCGGAGCAAGGCCAACUUCUACCGGAUCACCUUGCUCUUCUCUGGCGGCGUCGCCGUGGGCAAAUGGUUCGACGGCAUCUGCAAGUGGAAGAACCCAAUGACGACGAUUUUGGUGCACGUGGUGUUCCUGAAGCUGGUGUGCUGCCCGGAAUUGAUCUUACCCGUCGUGUUCCUGUGCAUGAUUAUUAUGGGGGCGUGGAACUACUUCAGGCGGACACGUGGAGCUCCACACAUAGACACGAUGCUGUCACGCGUGGAGCUCGCGCACCCGAACGAGCUGGACGAGGAGUUCGGUGGACUGCAGCCACCGCACAUAGAUGCAAUGUUCCGGUGGUACAAUGAUGUGGCGUACCAUGACGAACUGGACGAGGAAUUCGACACGUUCCCGACAUCCAAGCCAGACGACAUCGUGAGGCUGAGGUAUGAGCGGCUGCGGAGCCUCUGUGGGAUGGUGCAGACGGUUGUCGGCGACCUGGCUGCGCAGGGGGAGCGCGUGGAGUCACUGCUCCACUGGCACGACCCCAGGUUGACGCCCGUCUUCAUUGCAUUAUCGCUGGUGAUGCCCGUCGUACUGUACUUGACUCCAUUCCGGUUGUUGACCAUGGCGGUGGGGUUGUACUUCCUCCGGCCGCCGCGGUUCCGAGGCAGGACCAACCUGCUCCUCAACUUGUACAGUCGUCUGCCUUCCAAGGACGACGUGAUUCUAUAA